GACUUCUCGCCUCACCUGAACGGGGGCAGGUGGGCCCGGGGCUGCUCCGGGGCGGGCGGGCGGCGGCGGCGCGGCGCUAACGGCUCCGCUCGGCCUCGGUAGCGACGGUAGCGGCAGCGGCGACGGCGACGGCGGCGGCGGCAGCGGCGGCUCCUCCUCAGCGCGCACGACCCGCUCCGGCCCGCGGCCCGGACACUCCCCCCCGGCGCACGCGCCCAUUGGUCAGUGUCCGCCACGGCGUGCUGUUCAUUGGUCGGUGUGGCUGUCGCUGCACCCUGGGGCGCGCGGCGGAGGCGGGACUUCCGGUCGGCGCCUCCUGAGAAGGGCCUGGCGGCCACCGGAGACACAGGUGGCCAGCGAUGGCCGCGGAGAGGUUGAGCUGGGGCCAGGGCCCCGGAGGCCGACUAGAGGCAGCGGCCCAGAAGAGGCGCUCCUUGUCCAACGCUUGUCGUGUGCCCCACAUUUGCCCAUCCCACCGCCGCUGCCGCCCAGCAAGUUUCUUUCAGGUGCGGUGAGGAGGCGGGCACCGGACGUGAUCACUCCAUCAGUGCUAGCCAUUAGGGCAAAUGGGUUGCCAGAAUCCCAUCCUCCCAUUCAUUUAUUUAUUAAAACUUUAUUCAGCUCCUAUUAUGUGCCAGUCAUUGUUUGGGUAGUGAACAGAGAAUGGACCCCUCCAAAAAUAUAUAGAGAGAGAUCCAUUUUGGAUUGACAUUCUAGGCCAGCGUUGUCCAGGAGAAAUGUAUGCAAGCUACAAUUGUAAUUUGCAAAUUUUUUAGUAAUUGACUUGGUUUGUUUUCUUUGGUGUUUUUGAGACAGUCUCACUGUGUAGUUCAGACUGGCCUUGAACUCAUUCUGUCGCUGGUAGCUGCGACUGGCCUUGAACUCACAGCGAUCCUGCCUCAGCCUUCCAUGUACUGGGAUUACAGGUGUGCACCUCCAUGCCUUCCAUAUUUAUAUUCUUUUUUUUUUUGUACUGGGGAUCAAAUUCAGGACCUUGCGCUUGCACGGCAGGUGCUGGAACCACUGAGCUAAAUCCCUGGCCCAUAAUUUACGUUCUUAAUCAGCCCAGUCCAGUAGAAAUUUAAUCAAGCCACAAAUUUGUGAAC
rnacentral:lncRNA from 1 species